ensembl:lncRNA
AUGAACGAGUCCAGAAUACUUCACAUCACACAUGUAUCAAUGAUCUUCUUUUCUCGCAGGCGCGUGGUGGGGAGUCCGGACCGCGAAGGAUUGGCACAUCUAAAGCGUUUUCCCCGUGACUGCUCAGUGGAACGGUCUUUCUUGGAUCACAAACAUCACUGCACAGCCAAAGGUGAGACUUCUUUUCCAUUGGGGUUGUCACUUUUCUUUUUCUUUCUCUUUAUCCAACCCGACCCAAUUGUGUCUCAAAAUAGACACUUGGUCGACCGUCCAGUCAACAAAACGCACACAAUGACUAAUUCAGCCACAAUCAUCAUCAUUUUGAGCAUUAGAGGGCAGUUGGGGGCAAAAGAACGAAAAGGUGUUGCUCGAAUGUGGUUUAGCGUCAUUACCAGAGAUCACCACUAGAGGUGAGCAGAGCCUCGCACCGUUCCACUCCUGGUGAGGUAACCAAGGCAACGCAAGCACAAGAGAUAGUUAUUUCAGCAUGGUUUUACAUUUCGGCAUUACAUGGGUGACCUUAUCUAUUUGUAUGAGCAGGUGUGUUUUUGUGUGUGCGUGUUUGUGUGUGUGCGUGCAUGUUGCGGUUGUAUUGAGUCCUCACGCGCCGCUCCGACACGUGCGAUGCUUUGAGAGGGGGACCAGGUCGGUGCAGGGUUCGAUUCCGCUCCCAACCAUCACUCCUCCGCCAGUCUCCUCCCUCUUUUUCCUUUUUCUUUUUACACUCACCCCCUCGCUGACUACUGAUAGGGCGAACAUGGAGUCAGCGGAGGAGAGAGACGGCGAGAGGGAGGGAGGGAGGGAGGAGGGGAGUGAUAACUUGGAUACACGGGGAGGACAGAUGUAGGAACAAAGAAGCGGUGGAGGUGUGUGGUCGUCCCGGGUAGCCCAUGUGUGCAGGCUGAGCUCCCCGUCAGGUGCACGCGUUGCUCGUUCGGCGGUCUCCUCGCGGCGGCAUGGCGCCUCUCACCAGCGGAGCGCACAGCCCGGGCUCCUACUACUGCCUGAUCCGACGCAGGUUCAAGAGGAGGCGCAAGAAACGCUCCGAACGCAAAGGUAACCCGUCUCAGGGACAGGGAGGCUCGGAUCAACUUUUGAUGUUUAUCGGCUGGAAGGAGACGAGUGAGCGCUCUCUCCUUUUUAGACAGUUUGGCCUCGCUUGUCUGGGAAAGUUUGAAGUUCAUUCUGCAGCAGACUGAUCAACGUCUCGUAGUCAAAAUGCUAUGAAUUGUUCUGUUUGAUCUGUUUUGUUUUGAGUUCUUUUGUCAAAGAUGAUUUUUUAUUUUGUCUAAAAUUGUUUUAGGGCAUGUAGAGUAUUUGCUACAAAAGAAAACUAAAUAAUUUCAAUAAGAGAAAAUGUCCACAUUUAAUCAUAUAUUCAUCACCCAUAGAAACAUAAAUUCUAUACAGCUUUAUUACUAAUAUUAUUGAACAUAUGGAUUUUAUUUUUGCGUAUUAUUGUGUUUGUUAUAAGUUUUACUCUUAUGUUUACUAUGUCUAAUGUAAACAAUCAUCAACAAUUAUGCCGCAUGUGCUGUUAUCUAAGGAUGCAACGCGAGUAGAACUACUCGUAGUAGCAUCUGUAUUAAAUCACAACUGUCAAUCAAUUCAGGACAAAGGCGCUUACAAAUGAGUGUUUGUAUUUGUGCCACAUGUUUCCGUUCUGUAUUCGGUGGCCGAUGGAAGCCGCGGCUCUAAAGAAAACAAGUCCGAGGUAAACAUGAUGUGUUUGGAUUGAAGCCACGCCGCUGUGUGUAUUUGUUUAAAGAUCCCAAUCGUUCAUCCACGGAGGACUGUCUCUCCCUCACUCCCCCCCCCCCCCCCUACCCCCCCCCACCAGAGCCUUUCGCUCAGCAAACCGACUACGUCCAUCAGCAUUACACACGUCUGAUUUUGGCCUUUUCACUCUCCUCCUUAUCGCCUCUGGAACGAAGGUGGCACUUUCUUUUCUGCCUCACCGAGAGAAACGAUGACUAAGCGGGCCUUUGGGGCCCGUGUGCCGCUCCCCUCGCUGAUGGCUUUAUUGCCCCUCCCGCCGGAAGCCCUCCUGAUAAGUUGCAUAGUGCUCCAGCUUUAGGGCCCAUCGGGUUAGCAGUUAGCAGCUAGCCGUGGCGACGAGGUCACACGCUUACUUAAGACAAUCCUAGCGGGCCACGGAGCCGAAGAAAAGGUCUUUGCUCACUCGGCCGUCUGUGAGGUCACAGACUCGCUGGUCCUUUACAGUAAGUGCAGAUUAGUGUCCAGGGCGGCUGUUUCAGUUGGGUUCCUUAUAAGAACACUGCUUUAAUGGGCCCUUCUGAGACGGCAACUCUGCCCCACUGAUGGAUGGAAGGCUGCAUUCAUUCAGCGCAGUGUGUGCACAUGUGGAAUCACACAUUUGAACACAGAGAGAGCAGCAGAACAGGUGUUUGCAUCAACAUGGGGUGGCGGUGGGCCGUGGUUUGGCUCGGCUGCAGAGGGGGCCGGGUGGGCUCGGGGGAACUAUGCCAGCUGGAGGCUUGGCUGUAUCAGGUUAGGUUGACUGGGUCUCUCCCCUUUAAACAACACAGUGGCGAUCCGGCAAGAGAAAAAGGGUGGACGGAGAAAUGGUUGCUCUAUUGUGCCAUUAUCAAUAAAGAAAGCAUUCCUGAACCGCAAGAAGUAUGUGUGUCCGCCUCCUUAAGCCCACAAGAACCCAUCGGUAACCACACUCACCACAUGUGGUAAAUUAGAUGAGUGCAGCUAUGCAGGGAAUUGUGCAAUGUCCCCUAACUAAUGAGAUGGAUGAAAGUGUACUUGGUCCUGUCCUGACAGUACCGUUUGCUGUACAGAUGUGCUGGGAUGUUGUAUCGCUGUGGGCCUCGCACUGGUUCCCUCAUCAAAAUUGCCAGUGGGGUCUCGGGGUCUUGUUUGCGAGUGAGGGGAAGAUGGAGUGUGAUAUUGGCCGGAGAAUAGGAGCAGUAGUGUUGCACUCGCUUUACCAGAAAAAGAGCUGAGCCGGAGGGCAAAGCUCUCGAUCUUGGUUCCCACCCUCAGCUAUGGUCAUGAAGGAUGGGCCGUGACCAAAAGAACUAGGUCACGGGUACAAGCGGCCGAAAUGGGUUUCCUCCGGCUGGCGUCUCCCUUAGAGACAGGGUGAGGAGCUCGGAGUAGAGCCGCUGCUCCUUUGCGCGGGAAGGAGCCCGUUGAGGUGGUUUGGUAAGGGUGCUCCCCGGGCGGCUCCCUAGGGAGGUGUUCCAGGCACAGCCAGCUGGGAGGAGACUCGGUGGACAGAGUAUAUCUCGAUUACUCAUCUUAAACGGUACGUAAGGAUUAAAAACGGCUUAUUUCUAUUAAGGACCCUGCGUCUGUUUAAUUAAUGUUUCAGUAGUUCUACUGUCUGCUGCUGGAAGAGGUUCUGACUCAUCGCAAACAUUACUGCUGAGCUAUGUUGGCAUUGGAUAAGAAUAUUGUUUAUUAAUGACAUUUUAAUAUGCAUUGUCCUAAUAUUUUGUCGCACUGCCCUUUUCAUCUUUUUCAAGUUAUGUAUUUAGUCCUACCUAAAUAAAAUGAUAAUUGUAUUCUUACAUGGCUCAUAUUAUAAUUAUAUAUAUAUAUAUAUAUAUAUAUAUAUAUAUAUAUAUAUAUAUUAUAAUUAUAUAUAUAUAUAUAUAGUGAGAUGCUUGUGUUAUACCUUUCCUAUGCAGUUUUACGGAAUUAGCAUAGAGAGCACAGUGACUUUCAAAAUGCUGAACUUAAGCAUUUCUUCCACAUUCUUGAAGGCACCUCUCAUAAAUGUGCCAAGCCAUGACACUCAAAGACGAUGCUCGC